UCAUUCUCCGCAGCUCUCAUCCUCUUGGAACUGUUAAGCGUUCUGAGGCGAGGAAGGGAAGAGAGGUCCGCUGUAGUGCAUCAUGAGAGCCAAGUGGAAGAAGAAGCGUAUGAGGAGGCUGAAGAGGAAGCGCAGAGAAAGAUGAGGCAGAGAUCUAAGUAGUCUUCUCAAACUAAUCUCUUAGUUUCGUGUACUUGUGUUUUCUCGUUUGUUUGCUGUCAUGGAGUAACCAGGAGCGAUUAGUGCAAGAACUACUGGUAUUUCACAUUAAUUUCAUUUUCACUUAUUUAUUUGGAUCCUAGUUGAAAGAUGUUUUGUCUCCAAAUUAAGAUGUUUUUGAAUAUUCGUAGUUCCGAUUCUCUUUAGUUGCGAUUAUAUUGUGGAA